UACGUAGGUGGCAAGCGUUAUCCGGAAUUAUUGGGCGUAAAGCGCGCGUAGGCGGUUUCUUAAGUCUGAUGUGAAGGCCCACGGCUCAACCGUGGAGGGUCAUUGGAAACUGGGAAACUUGAGUGCAGAAGAGGAAAGUGGAAUUCCAUGUGUAGCGGUGAAAUGCGCAGAGAUAUGGAGGAACACCAGUGGCGAAGGCGACUUUCUGGUCUGUAACUGACGCUGAUGUGCGAAAGCGUGGGGAUCAAACAGG
rnacentral:rRNA from 1 species